rnacentral:rRNA from 1 species
AGUGAACGCUGGCGGUAGGCCUAACACAUGCAAGUCGAACGGCAGCACAGUAAGAGCUUGCUCUUACGGGUGGCGAGUGGCGGACGGGUGAGGAAUACAUCGGAAUCUACUUUUUCGUGGGGGAUAACGUAGGGAAACUUACGCUAAUACCGCAUACGACCUACGGGUGAAAGCAGGGGAUCUUCGGACCUUGCGCGAUUGAAUGAGCCGAUGUCGGAUUAGCUAGUUGGCGGGGUAAAGGCCCACCAAGGCGACGAUCCGUGGCUGGUCUGGGAGGAUGGUCAGCCACACUGGAACUGAGCCACGGUCCAGACUCCUACGGGAGGCAGCAGUGGGGAAUAUUGGACAGUGGGCGCAAGCCUGAUCCAGCCAUACCGCGUGGGUGAAGAAGGCCUUCGGGUUGUAAAGCCCUUUUGUUGGGAAAGAAAAGCAGCAGGUUAAUACCCCGCUGUUCUGACGGUACCCAAAGAAUAAGCACCGGCUAACUUCGUG